CCGCUUGUAGUUCUCGUCUGGUGUGUUAGAAUGCACAUAAUGUUUCGACCAGUUAACUCUUUGGCCGCUGUCAGGUGAUACUGAGCACUGGCAAGGUCUGAGAAAGCCAGUUUGUUUCAGGACGUCAUAAUGCCUGAUGACGGCCGGAGAGUUAGCUAGCCGAAACUUUGUGUGUUUAUAACACAUUAGACGAGUACGACAUUCCGGUAACUUAUUCGUAGCUCCGGAAAACGCUUAGUGGGUUUCUGAGAGCCCGCUGUUGGCCGAACGUUACAAUUAUGGCUUUUUUACUAACAAACGUGGGGGGUUGGGAAACCUAAGAUGGUGUAGUGUCAGCCCGUUGGUGAUUUCUGUUACAUGAUAUAUGAACGCUGAGGCUAUCAACAAUUGUAGACAUUGUCUAACGCUUCGCAAACGUCGAUUCAGCUCUAUUUUCAUCACUUAAGACACUUUAAAUAAGCGAAGCGAGGUACAUACGAACGCAGGCGUAUCUGCAAAAGUGCUGCGCUGCAAAAUUAGGCCCAGUAACUUCUAACUUGGGAGAAAGUUGUACUGUUAUUUGCAGCUAUCUGCACCAUUUAUGUGCUAAAAAUUUCGUAAGUUGAGGCAUCUAUCAGCCAUCUAACAUCUGUCGCCCAUCAAAACCACCAUGGUUAGCGGCGACGUCACAGUUCAUUGAGUUUUGGCGGCCAGUUACGAGUGCUUGAAUCAGUUAUCGGAUAGCUAUAAUGAUGUGCAGCAUUUAAUGAUGUGCAUUGCAUGUCUGUGCACAUGCAACAGCUGGAGUGGCCAGAAAACAUUUGAAAGUAAGUGCUCACCUGUUCCGUUGUACAGGCUCUUCAAACCCGAGCGCUUGUGAGCUGUCGGAGCUUUGGAAUUCGUCAUGCUUGUAUUAAUAUCUUGGCAAGCCUCAUUCGUGGAUCAACAGCGCAGUCCAGUUUCGAUGGAGUGUUCCCCAUUUGUUUGUGAUUUUAAUUAAAAAUAGCCAUUCAGAAGAGCAUUCGGUGUAGUUCACAGUCCCGCCCUUCUUAAGACGCAAACCCUUCUGAUUUCUGAGCUAUACGCCCGUCGAGACGAGCGGACUAUUUCGGAGAGACAAUUUGAAGGUCACUCCGACAUCCAUGACAUCAUAAUAACGUCAUACAAAUCCUGCCUUGACAUGGGCCAUGCAGCGAUUAAGGUCAAUAAAAACAUAGUCGUCGAGUUAUUCAUAUCUGGCGUUCAUGAGCAUGAUUUCCAGACGUAGCGGCUGGCAAUGUGAUAUAAGCUUCAGCGCUGUGCAAGCUGCGACGAUGUAAUCGAGCAAGACGUGUUGGGAACAUAUGCACUAAACAGAAAACUGUGCUGUUUAGAGCAGCCUUUUCCAGUAGAAGUAUACUAGAAGAUGUAAGUAAGCUUUUUUCGUAAUGUCUGAUGCUUGCUUCAACAUCUUCAAAUGUGAACUUCCCUUUAAAGCAAGCAAGAUUAUUUUCCCUGAUAAAUUCAGGGAGACAUAGCACUUCAGUGGUAAGCUCCAUCGACGAUGGUUUUGCUUGCAUGUCUCAAAACUCGCGAGAUAUACUUAGUUCUGUCUCCCCUAACCUCUUCCUGGCGCACCGCUGAUGACAUUAACAACGUUUCCGCAGAAUGCUGCCUCCGAAGAUCACAUACAGAACUCUAUGGAGUUUUUCAAAGAGUACAUCCACGCCGGAAAUCAUUCAUCGGAGUUCAACUCCACCGACGUUGACGACAUGAAAAAUUUCCUGUCUUCAAUGGCUAUGAUAACGCCAAGUCACAGAGAAAAAGUGGAAAUGGAAAUACACGGCGAACAAGUCUACGUCAACCCAAUGACCGUCGACGAUCUCGAAUCAGAAUACACGUUUGUGAAUUGGACGGUGUUGCUAUCCGAGGCGCUGUCCGCAAACGUCAGCAGUUCGGACAUUGUAUACGUACCGUUUCCCGGCUACCUGGAUGACCUGGAUAUGAAGAUUGAGCUUCUUCCGGCGCACACCAUACACAACGGCCUACUUUUGAUGUACAGGAUGGACUACCUCAGCGCCAUGGCGGACAUGCUGGCGCCGGCGCCGGCGACGCAGUUGAAGGACAUGUGCCUGGAUCUGACGAAGGACAUGUACCCCGUGCCUGUGGCUGGCAUGUUCGUUCGCGACGCCGGCAGAGGGAGGCUACAGCAGCUCAAGGACGAGGUGUCGGUUCUGCUGAACGACAUCAAGACCGUGCUGACAACGUCAAUAGAACGCAAGGCCGCGGCGGAGCCCUCGCCGGUCUACUCCAUGGCGCUGAGGAAGCUACGGUCUCUGCGCUCGCUUCUGGUCGCUUCGCCGAGCUUCUGGAGCGACGAGUUCAUCGCGCAGAACACGCCCACCCUGCCCAGUUUGGCGCCGGCCGUGGACCAUGACCAGCCGGAUCGGCAUAAGGUGCUCCGGCUAAUACGGGCGAUGCAAGCUGUGAGGAAUUUCUCCAUUCGCAAGUAUCAGGAAGUUGACACAGUUUCGGAGAAUUACAUUUGGAGUCAAGUUUCAGAGCCGUAUGAAUUGAACGCUUUCUACUUUCCCGACGGCAACACAGUAGUCGUGCCGCUGGCGUUCCUCAGCGAGCCGUACUUCUACGACGCUGUACCGCAGUACGUGAAGUACGCCACUCUAGGGCACGUGCUGUCGCAUGAGCUGCUCCAUGGUCUCGGCGUUACGGGCUUUCAGUACGACGACUCGGGUCGGCUACGGCAGCUGACUGAGGCGGAGAGGCGCCAGCUGGCGGAGCUGCGCAGCUGCGUCCGGCACAACUUUGUCAACAACCUCACCAAGAUCGUCCACAUUCAGGACAUCGCUAUAAGCGCGGAGCCGGACGGGGAGCUGACGCUGGACGAGAACCUGUCCGAUCACGACGCGCUGCCGCUGACUUGGCGGGCGUACCAGAGAUGGCACCACCAGCACGGGUCGGAGCCCGCGCUGCCCGGCGUCAACCUGACCCUGCAGCAGACGUUCCUGCUCGCCUGGGGCCAGAUAUAUUGUGCGAAACUAACACAGGGGACAUACAUCGCAUCAGUAGAAACCGACGCUCACUUGAACAAUCCAGAACGAGUGAACGCCAUGAUGCGCCACUGGCCGGAGUUCGCCUCCAGCUUCCACUGCGCCGAAGGCUCGCCAAUGCGGCCGUCUGUUCAGUGCCGCCCUCUCUGGUAGCCGGGCGGGCAGCGCGCGGUUGGUGACGGGGCCUCCAGAGGGCCCGACCGUGCUGGACCAGCCCCUGGCCAGCGAGAGCGUCCCAGCUGGUGACGGGGCCUUCAUAGGGCCCGACCGUGCUGGACCAGCCCCUGGCCAGCGAGAGCGGGCAGUCUGUGAAGUCCGUGGAAGAGAGACGGUGAGAGGAUUUUGCUGAGGAGAAAAAGAAAGAUAAACGUGCAGGCGGGACGGGGAGGGGAUGAAGACAAGGACGGAGAACUGGAAAAAAGAGAUGGGUCAGAUGGGAUGGAGUGAGACUACAGUGAGAUGGAGUGAGAAAGGUAAAGAGCGAAGCACGAAGUGCGAGCAAGAAUGAGAAGAACGGAGCGGGCCAUGGAUGCCCUCGCGAACCGUGCGAUCGUGAACUCUGCAGGCCUCGCUUGCUCCCGCCAGGCGCGGCCGUGCCUCGCGAACGAAGCGACACCGCCGGCGUCUCUGUGCCGAGCGAAUCGAGCCGGGGUCGUGACAAGCUGCACCACAUCACGACGCCGAGCCCAAGUCCACUGCCUCGCCGGGAACCUGCAAUAGCGUGCCGUGCCGCAAGUGCGCCGCCGUCCUCACGCUCUCUGGCGCCCCUAGAACACUCAGUGGUGACUGUGCGACGCUGGGUGGUGACUGUGCAAUAAUGGCCUGUGGUUACGGCGCGCGCGCGGUGAGGGCAUAUCCCCAUGUCCGACAUGUUACGGGUCAUGGCAAACGUCACGGCAAUGUCACGGGCGUACGUAGAAUGGCGCUACGGAGAGGAGGAAGGCGUUGUCUCUAGGUUGUUCUUCGGCAUGUACUGACGUGCCUCGGUGGUAGGUGUCAGCACGUACUGACGUGCCCCGGCGGUGGGCGUCAGCACGUGCUAACGUGCCCCGGCGGUGGGCGUCAGUGAGAGGGCGUCAGCAGCUCGCUGCCUGAUCGUGAUGUUCCGCGCGGCCGGCUGUGCGGUACGUUCGCGUGUCCGGGGACGGACCGUGCCGCCUAAUGGUGAGGGAGCUCAUGCACUGGUCAUCGACAUUUCCAGCCAACCAACGGCAUUCGAGGAUGCGAUUUCUCGGGCCUGAGUGAGCCAAUGGUAAUAGCAACAGUAGCUUAGGAGUGGCGGCGUGGUGCUGGCCUGGGCUAAUCGAAACAGGGUAACGCAGACUGGUAUGUUCGAAAUGAUGAAGUGGCCUGCCUGUACGAGUCAUGUUUUGAUCGGAUGGGCAAUGAACGGCCAUGAUGAGUGACAUAAUGUGUGCUUAAGGUGCACUGACGGGAGUAACUGUGAUUUAACGGGUCAUAUUGUGACCACAUUGGUCAUAGCGUUAACUCUCCUAUACCCACGACCUGUCGGCGCCUUUAGUGAUGUUACAUAAUGUGUUAGAACAGAGAAGGUAUAUGAUGCAGACGUAAUAUAUGGUACAAGCAUAGAACCCAGCACAAGCGUGCGCACACAUUCGGGCUCCUUUGGCAUUGUUCUGCGCUUUGUGCCAUCUCUGUGGCCGAAGGA
rnacentral:misc_RNA from 1 species